rnacentral:rRNA from 1 species
ACAGUGGACGCGAGCAUCUGUGGCCAAGUUUUUAAGGGCGCACGGUGGAUGCCUUGGCACCAGGAACCGAUGAAGGACGUGGGAGGCCGCGAUAGGCCCCGGGGAGCUGUCAACCGAGCUGUGAUCCGGGGGUGUCCGAAUGGGGAAACCCGGCAGUCGUCAUGGGCUGUCACCCGCUGCUGAACACAUAGGCAGUGUGGAGGGAACGCGGGGAAGUGAAACAUCUCAGUACCCGCAGGAAGAGAAAACAACCGUGAUUCCGGGAGUAGUGGCGAGCGAAACUGGAUGAGGCCAAACCGUAGGCGUGUGAUACCCGGCAGGGGUUGCGCUU